rnacentral:rRNA from 1 species
UACGUAGGGCGCGAGCGUUGUCCGGAAUUAUUGGGCGUAAAGAGCUCGUAGGCGGCUUGUUGCGUCUGCUGUGAAAUCCCGGGGCUUAACCCCGGGCGUGCAGUGGAUACGGGCAGGCUGGAGGCAGGCAGGGGAGAACGGAAUUCCCGGUGUAGCGGUGAAAUGCGCAGAUAUCAGGAGGAACACCGAUGGCGAAGGCAGUUCUCUGGGCCGUAACUGACGCUGAGGAGCGAAAGCGUGGGGAGCGAACAGG